rnacentral:piRNA from 1 species
UNUACAGUGCCCAUGGCCAUAGAUAAAGCCU